rnacentral:rRNA from 1 species
UACGUAGGGGGCAAGCGUUAUCCGGAUUUACUGGGUGUAAAGGGAGCGUAGACGGCAUGGCAAGUCAGAUGUGAAAGCCCGGGGCUCAACCCCGGGACUGCAUUUGAAACUGUCAGGCUGGAGUGCAGGAGAGGUGAGCGGAAUUCCUAGUGUAGCGGUGAAAUGCGUAGAUAUUAGGAGGAACACCAGUGGCGAAGGCGGCUUACUGGACUGUAACUGACGUUGAGGCUCGAAAGCGUGGGGAGCAAACAGG